rnacentral:rRNA from 1 species
AGUGAACGCUGGCGGCAGGCCUAACACAUGCAAGUCGAGCGGCAGCGGGUCCUUCGGGAUGCCGGCGAGCGGCGGACGGGUGAGGAAUGCGUCGGAAUCUGCCUUUUUGUGGGGGAUAACGUAGGGAAACUUACGCUAAUACCGCAUACGACCUACGGGUGAAAGUGGGGGACCGCAAGGCCUCACGCAGAAAGAUGAGCCGACGCCGGAUUAGCUAGUUGGCGGGGUAAAGGCCCACCAAGGCGACGAUCCGUAGCUGGUCUGAGAGGAUGAUCAGCCACACUGGAACUGAGACACGGUCCAGACUCCUACGGGAGGCAGCAGUGGGGAAUAUUGGACAAUGGGCGCAAGCCUGAUCCAGCCAUGCCGCGUGUGUGAAGAAGGCCUUCGGGUUGUAAAGCACAUUUGUCCGGAAAGAAAUCCAAUCGAUUAAUACUCGGUUGGGAUGACGGUACCGGAAGAAUAAGCACCGGCUAACUUCGUGCCAGCCGCCGCUGUAAGAC